rfam:Chromobacterium sp. 37-2 Cmus_37-2.1, whole genome shotgun sequence.
UGGUUUUCCUGCUCGCCGCACUUGUCGGGUUUUCAAACCCCCUAAUGAAACUGGAGUAAUCCAAAUGGCAAUGACCGCCGAACAAAAAGCAGAAAUCGUUAAAAGCUUCCAACGUGCCGAA